rnacentral:rRNA from 1 species
AAUAGAUACCCGGGUAGUCCACGCCGUAAACGUUGGGCACUAGGUGUGGGGUCUAUUCAACGGACUCCGUGCCGUAGCUAACGCAUUAAGUGCCCCGCCUGGGGAGUACGGCCGCAAGGCUAAAACUCAAAGGAAUUGACGGGGGCCCGCACAAGCAGCGGAGCAUGUUGCUUAAUUCGAGGCAACGCGAAGAACCUUACCUGGGUUUGACAUGUAGAGAAAAGCCAUAGAGAUAUGGUGUCCUUCGGGUUCUACACAGGUGGUGCAUGGUUGUCGUCAGCUCGUGUCGUGAGAUGUUGGGUUAAGUCCCGCAACGAGCGCAACCCUUGUCCUAUGUUGCCAGCACGUCAUGGUGGGGACUCGUAGGAGACUGCCGGGGUCAACUCGGAGGAAGGUGGGGACGACGUCAAAUCAUCAUGCCCCUUAUAUCCAGGGCUGCAAACAUGCUACAAUGGCCGGUACAAAGGGCUGCGAAACCGCGAGGUGGAGCGAAUCCCAUAAAGCCGGUCUCAGUUCGGAUUGGAGUCUGCAACUCGACUCC